UUUUUUAUUUUUUAAAUACUUGGGGCACUUUCGUAAAUAUGUUAUCUGAACUAAAAAUAAGAACACGCGUUGCCCUAGUCUCACUUUCCUUCUUCUCUUCCCCCAAUCUGCGAUUUCUAGCUCUUCCCAGUAUCUCCGAUCUGCAACCAACCGGCGACUGCCUCCGCCAUCGCCGUCGGAAGCAAAGCCCUCCAGCUCCUCCAAAGUCAUCGACGCAACAUACUUCUCCGUCCUACUGCCUGUCCGACCUACAACCCAUCAACGACAACCAGCAUCGCCUCAGUCUCUUGCCGCCACCAUCGUCGAAGUUGUUGCUGUAGCUAGUGGACCUUACCAUUGAAUCCGAUUUCAUAUUUUUUUCACUCAAGUUUUGACUCACCUAGAAAAGAGUGCAAAGAUGAAGUUGGCAUCUGGAGAGUUGAUUGGGAGCCAACCUGAGCACUGGGUUAAUGAGAAGUCUUGGACCAUAUUUGUAAGUUAUCUUUAUCCUUUUUAUGUUUUGGUAAAUUAUAGGACAAAUAUGAGAAGGCAAUGUGUGAGAAAUAUGGCCCCGACCCUAGUCAACAUCCGUUGGGUGAUGUUGAAAUAUGGGAGCAUUGUGUUGGCGGGAGAAAGAAGGGGCGAGUUUACGGGGUAGGAUCAUCAGAUCCGGGAAACGUCGUGUUGGGGACACCUUAUGAGUGUGAGCUCAUCAUCCCAUGAUUAUGCCUUAUCUCAAAAGAAGAUAAAUGAAUUAGAGAACAUGUUGGAACGAGAAGUGAAGAAACGGGAGGAAAUAGAAGCCAAUUUUGAUAGUGAGGUGAAGUUAUGAGAGGACAUGGAAAGCUGUCUUUUUGAAAAAAUGAAUGAUCUUUUGAAGCAAUUCACCGGAAGAUAAAAGGUGUGGAAUCCACGAGCUGCUAAUCAAGAAGGAAGUCUCUAUCGGUUGUUGACAAUAUUUGACUAUGGAUUGAAACUUAUAGGUUUAAUGUAUGUGAAAUGAUUGAAAUUUAUGGAUUUACUUUUAUAUUUGUUUGUUUUAAAAUAUAGAUUUUAAUUUCUUCA